rnacentral:lncRNA from 1 species
UAAUCCCGUGAACCACCGAUUUUUUGAUCGCAAGUUGCUCCUGAAGCAUCCAGUUGUGGGCACGUCUGCGUGGGUGUCACACAUUACGUCGCCCCCACCAGGCCAUCCCUUUUAGGGUUGCCUUGUGUUGGCGCGGAGAUUGGUCUCCCGUGCCCAUGGCGUGGUUGGCUUAAAUAGGAGUCUCCUCAUGAGGGACGCACGGCUAGUGGUGGUUGAUAAGACAGUCGUCUCGUGUCGUGCGUUUACUUUCUUCAGUGUAGAUGCUCUUAAAGUACCCCGACAUGUUAUCUUAUGACGAUGAUUCGAUCGCGACCCCAGGUUAGGCGGGACUACUCUCUGAGUUUAUGCAUAUCAAUAAGUGGAGGAAAAGAAAUCUACAAGAAUUCCCUUAUUAACGGU